UUCUUCUGUGAGGUAAUAUUAACUAAUUAGAAAUCAAUAGGUUAACCACUUUGGACUAUCUAUUCCUGGAGCCCUUGCUCUUAUUAACGAGACAAGGACACUAGGAAGAGUAGGAUGGACAUUCCUGAUUAAGAAGAUGAAGCUUCAGAAUCUUUAUGCUUUGAGCACUGAAUCAAAUGUGGCCUCGUUUUACACCAAAGGCAAAUGAAGCAAGACAAGCCAAAUAUCAUAUGGCAAAAAAUAAGUGCAUCAGUUUUCCGGUGACGUUUAGCGUUCCUGGUCUCUGCGCCUCAUCUCAUCUGACCUGUAAUUGCUGCCUCAAAGGGAAAAAUUCAAAUCUUUGGCUGAAUGGUCUGGUAGCAACAGAUCGGAAAUUCUUAAGAUGUUAGAAACAGGAGCUACCUCCCACACAAUCACUGAGUGAAAAAGAAAAGUGGGGGGGAGAGAGAGAGAGAGAGAGAAAGGGAGACUGAAAUUGACAGAGAGAGACAGAGAGAGAGAGAGACAGAGAGAAAACUGGGUCUUGUAAAGAGACUAGUACUCUCAGUUCCAGACCUUCACCAGGUCUGUGGCUUUAAGUUCUGUGCUUCUAUUUCUCCGGUGCAACACGGGGCUAAUACCAUGGCAGCACAGGCUGGUUCUAAGUGUAAAAUGAAGCAACAGACAAAAAUAUACUAAGAAUGGUAUAUUUUGACAUUUAAGAAAAAUGCUAUUAAAUGUCAAAUAUUGGUAGAAAGCAAAUUGAAU
rnacentral:lncRNA from 1 species